CCUACGGGGGGCAGCAGUGGGGAAUAUUGGACAAUGGGCGAAAGCCUGAUCCAGCCAUGCCGCGUGUGUGAAGAAGGCCUUCGGGUUGUAAAGCACUUUCAGUGGGGAAGAAAGCCUUGGGGCUAAUACCCUCGAGGAAGGACAUCACCCACAGAAGAAGCACCGGCUAACUCCGUGCCAGCAGCCGCGGUAAUACGGAGGGUGCGAGCGUUAAUCGGAAUUACUGGGCGUAAAGCGCGCGUAGGCGGUCUGAUAAGCCGGUUGUGAAAGCCCCGGGCUCAACCUGGGAACGGCAUCCGGAACUGUCAGGCUAGAGUGCAGGAGAGGAAGGUAGAAUUCCCGGUGUAGCGGUGAAAUGCGUAGAGAUCGGGAGGAAUACCAGUGGCGAAGGCGACCUUCUGGACUGACACUGACGCUGAGGUGCGAAAGCGUGGGUAGCAAACAGGAUUAGAUACCCGUGUAGUC
rnacentral:rRNA from 1 species